AGUGAACGCUGGCGGCGUGCUUAACACAUGCAAGUCGAACGAGAACGGUACUAGCUUGCUAGUAUGUCAGCUAAGUGGCGGACGGGUGAGUAAUGUAUAGUUAAUCUGCCCUUCAGAGAGGGAUAACUACUGGAAACGGUAGCUAAUACCUCAUACUCCUUCUAGUGUAAUGCUAGUUGGGAAAUGUCUUUUCGCUGAAGGAUGAGACUAUAUGGUAUCAGGUAGUUGGUGGGGUAAGAGCCUACCAAGCCUAUGACGCCUAGCUGGUCUGAGAGGAUGAUCAGCCACACUGGAACUGAGACACGGUCCAG
rnacentral:rRNA from 1 species